AUACGUAGGUGGCAAGCGUUGUCCGGAAUUAUUGGGCGUAAAGCGCGCGCAGGCGGUCUUUUAAGUCUGAUGUGAAAGCCCACGGCUCAACCGUGGAGGGUCAUUGGAAACUGGAAGACUUGAGUGCAGAAGAGGAGAGUGGAAUUCCACGUGUAGCGGUGAAAUGCGUAGAGAUGUGGAGGAACACCAGUGGCGAAGGCGACUCUCUGGUCUGUAACUGACGCUGAGGCGCGAAAGCGUGGGGAGCAAACAGGAUUAGAUACCCUGGUAGUCCACGCCGUAAACGAUGAGUGCUAAGUGUUAGAGGGUUUCCGCCCUUUAGUGCUGCAGCUAACGCAUUAAGCACUCCGCCUGGGGAGUACGACCGCAAGGUUGAA
rnacentral:rRNA from 1 species